rnacentral:rRNA from 1 species
CCUACGGGAGGCAGCAGUGGGGAAUAUUGCACAAUGGGGGAAACCCUGAUGCAGCGAUGCCGCGUGAGUGAAGAAGUAUUUCGGUAUGUAAAGCUCUAUCAGCAGGGAAGAAAAUGACGGUACCUGAUUAAGAAGCCCCGGCUAACUACGUGCCAGCAGCCGCGGUAAUACGGAGGGGGCCAGCGUUAUCCGGAUUUACUGGGUGUAAAGGGGGCGUAGACGGCAGCACAAGUCUGGAGUGAAAUUCCGGGGCUGAACCCCGGAACUGCUUUGGAGACUGUGCAGCUAGAGUGCAGGAGAGGUAAGUGGAAUUCCUGGUGUAGCGGUGAAAUGCGUAGAUAUUAGGAGGAACACCAGUGGCGAAGGCGGCUUACUGGACUGUAACUGACGUUGAGGCUCGAAAGCGUGGGGAGCAAACAGGAUUAGAUACCCGUGUAGUC